AUGCUUUCAAUGCUUUUGGCAGGAGUUCCAAUGGAAUCCAUGUCAACCAUGCAGUCAACUAAAAGUGUGAGUCAUCACUUCACUGGUGGUGAAAUCCGGGCCAUUCACUGUGAUGAUUUCGAGGAAGUUUGUCGGCAAAUUGCUGAUGGCAAUGCUGUGCUUGCUACCUUCUUUGAUGGUGUUGGAUAUGAACAACUGCAGUAUUGUCAAUACUACACAGCUAUGCCUGCCUCUGUUGUGGCUCAACUUAUUGCUGAUGGGGAGGAUGUUUCUGCUCAUGUUGUUCUGCUAGUUGGAGUGAUAUCAGAACAGGGACAUAGGGCUUACUUUGCACUAGAUUUAGCAGGAACAGCCUUUUGCAGGCAGGUGGGAAGUGCUGAAGGGUGGCGAUCUUUGUUCAACUGGAACAAAAAGAGUCAACUCGGAGGAUAUGGAAAAAUCACCGCCGAUAGUGCUUGGUUCACUAAUUUCUUCAAGGUUUCUAGACAGAAUGAUCAUGGGCUGCCUCCUAAACUCUUUGUUGCUAAUCAUGACCCUGAUGAUUAUCUUGUGGAUAACAUACCGACUGAUUUGACCAUCACUCCACAAGAAGAAGGGGACAUCAUCCUUGCUGCACGUAACAGGCGGUAUGUCUUUCAUGGAAGGUACUUGAGGCGUCGUUUUCGUCAGUUAGGGUAUUGA
rnacentral:rRNA from 1 species